rnacentral:rRNA from 1 species
UGAUUUAAAAGUCGUAACAAGGUUUCCGUAGGUGAACCUGCGGAAGGAUCAUUAACGAUCGUGGAGUCCACCUCCCGUGUGAACUGUACUGGAAUCAUCUUCUUGCGAUACAUUUUGGGGGGGUCGACCUAGCGGUCGUCAAAUGCUGUGUGCGUAGCAGUCAGCCCCCCCCACGUUCGCAUGUCUUUGUUUACUAUCCAGUUUGUCAAUAGUGAGAAUGAUCGAAAGAUACGUAAAAAUGAGUAAAACAACUCAGAACGGUGGAUCUCUUGGCUCACGCAUCGAUGAAGAACGCAGCCAACUGCGAUAAGUAGUGUGAAUUGCAGAAGACAGUGAAUCAUCGAAUCUUUGAACGCAAAUGGCGCUCUCGGGCCCUGGUCCCGGGAGCAUGUCUGUCUGAGGGUCGAAUACACUGUGCGUCUUUCUUCUUUGCGAGGAAAGAUGGUGUUGAGGUGUCACGGCCAAAAAAGAGAAUAGGCCGUGUCCCUUGAAAUGUAGAAUGCCGGUGGACGACCGCGACUCGUUCAUCGCCCACAGGCAAACAGAGAGGAACAAACACUUAAAUACGACCUCAGAUCAGGCAAGAUUACCCGCUGAAUUUAAGCAUAUCAAUAAGCG